rnacentral:lncRNA from 1 species
AGAGAGGGAGAGAGAGAGAGAGAGAGACAGAGACACAGACACAGACACAGAGGGAGAGAGCCUAAGCGGAGCCGGACGGACCAAGCGCCGCAGCCCGGUUCCUCGGGACCCGCUCCCCGCGGCCGCGGCCCCGCUCCCCGCCGGCCGACCCCAGGUGUCCCCAGGCUGAAAAUGGGACCCUUGACCCACUGCAAGUUGUUCACUGCUCAAAACCCACCCUGGGGAGGUUCCCCCUUCACACGGCCCCUCCAGUGACGUUUAUGGCCUCUAGAACAGCCAGAGGUGACACUUAUAUUGCCAGGAGUGGAUGGAUGGUGUUCAUCCCAAAGAGCAGAAUCGUGGGACGGAAAUCACCUUUCAUCCUCACACCGCAGAACCCUCCCCCAAAAAGCAAGCAAGCAAACAAACAAAAAACCCAACAUCAAAAGCUGUCACCCCCAAGCUCUGCUGGUCCAGAUGUUGCACAAAGU